rnacentral:rRNA from 1 species
CUUGUGGGUAGCGGUGAAAUUCCAAUCGAGCCCGGAGAUAGCUGGUUCUCCCCGAAAUAGCUUUAGGGCUAGCCUCAAGGUGAGAGAUACGGAGGUAGAGCACUGAAUGUCCUAGGGGGUAUUGCACUUACCGAAGACUAUCAAACUCCGAAUGCCGUCAUCUUAUACUUGGGAGUCAGACUGUGGGUGAUAAGAUUCAUAGUCGAAAGGGCAACAGCCCAGAUCGUCAGCUAAGGUCCCUAAAUGUAAGUUAAGUGGUAAAGGAUGUGGGAUUGCACAGACAACCAGGAUGUUGGCUUAGAAGCAGCCACUCAUUCAAAGAGUGCGUAAUAGCUCACUGGUCGAGUGAUCCUGCGCCGAAGAUUUCCGGGGCUAAAACUUACUACCGAAGCUACGGCAUCAGUAAUGAUGGGUAGGGGAGCUUCCCAUACGGGUUGAAGCAUGACCGUAAGGACAUGUGGACAGUAUGGGAGUGAGAAUGUUGGCAUGAGUAGCGAGAUGUGGGUGAGAAUCCCACAGGCCGUAAACCCAAGGUUUCCAGGGGAAGGUUCGUCCGCCCUGGGUUAGUCGGGACCUAAGCUGAGGCCGAAAGGCGUAGGUGAUGGACAACAGGUUGAUAUUCCUGUACUA